rnacentral:rRNA from 1 species
AAAGUAGGGGAUCGUAAGACCUUGCGCUUUUGGAGCGGCCGAUGUCUGAUUAGCUAGUUGGUGGGGUAAUGGCCUACCAAGGCGUCGAUCAGUAGCUGGUCUGAGAGGACGGCCAGCCACACUGGGACUGAGACACGGCCCAGACUCCUACGGGAGGCAGCAGUGGGGAAUUUUGGACAAUGGGCGCAAGCCUGAUCCAGCCAUGCCGCGUGAGUGAAGAAGGCCUUCGGGUUGUAAAGCUCUUUCAGCCGAGAAGAAAAGGUUGCGACUAAUAAUCGCAAUUCAUGACGGUACCGAAAGAAGAAGCACCGGCUAACUACGUGCCAGCAGCCGCGGUAAUACGUAGGGUGCGAGCGUUAAUCGGAAUUACUGGGCGUAAAGGGUGCGCAGGCGGUUUUGUAAGUCAGAUGUGAAAUCCCCGGGCUUAACCUGGGAACUGCGUUUGAAACUACAAAGCUAG